rnacentral:rRNA from 1 species
UACGGAGGGUGCAAGCGUUGUUCGGAAUUACUGGGCGUAAAGCGCGUGUAGGCGGUUUUCUAAGUCUGAUGUGAAAGCCCGGGGCUCAACCUCGGAAGUGCAUUGGAAACUGGGAGACUUGAGUACCGGAGAGGAGGGUGGAAUUCCUGGUGUAGCGGUGAAAUGCGUAGAUAUCAGGAGGAACACCGGUGGCGAAGGCGGCCCUCUGGACGGAUACUGACGCUGAGACGCGAAAGCGUGGGGAGCAAACAGG